CCCCACAAAUUUGGGAAAAUUUGUUUAAAACAUAAGUACACUUUUUCAAUAACAUAUUUUAAAAAUAAAUGUUUACAUUGACUUCUCUUGCGGAGUCUAUAUAAAAAAAUAAGAACAACAUUGUCUAUGUAUUUACCUCCCUUCAUCCUUAAUCUAAAAACUACACUUGAAACAGUAUACGAAAGAGUGUCAAAAUGCAAAAAUAAUACCCGCAAAAAUCUAGUAUAUCGGUUGCUGUGCUGCAGCGGGCUGGGCCCCUUGGACCUGUACUCGCUGCACUGGCAUCGGGUUUCCGGCUUUGACGAUCUCUCGUUGCAUCCAUUUUCUGGUCUUCUUGACACACCGUCGACGCAAUGUAUACACGAUAAUUAUCAUAAACACACCAGCAAUAAUUAUUAGCAUUAUGGACAAGUAAUUUAACUUCGCUUCUACUUGUGUUGUGUUGGAAACGACUUGCGCUUGGGCAACGACCUCAUUCUGAUUCUCUUUACUUUGCCCGUAACCCAUGUUGCACCGACGAAUUUAAAUUCUCGAAUGAGAUUACUCCUAACUACUGCUAACACCUUACGUAUACGUUCCACUUAAAUGUUCUACAUAAACAAAACAAUAUAGAAUCGCUUAUUAUUGCAUGUUGUACACGCGCAGCCUAAUACAUUCACAUUAUGGAAAAGAAAUCCGCUGACAAAAAUAUUGAAUCUAUGUCAUUACGUUGGGUAAUUAAAAUAGAUUUCAAUUUUACCAUAUAACAUUACCUAAAACUAAAUAUCUAAUCUUUAUCUAAACAAACCGAGCGGGGGUCACGAUGACGCGACCGCUCCGAGUUGUUCGUACCUUAUUUGUCUCUGAGGCAUUAGCGCCAGAACUGUGUUGCGCCGUUAUGCGCUCUGGCUCCUUUACAUUAAAAUUAAAAGUUCAAAGUUAGGAGGAUUCAAUGAAAUCCUUAGAUGCAAUAAAUGAGAGUUAAAAAAGUUAUCAAUGAAUAUUCUUUAGCCAUGGAUGAUUUAAUAUCGCAAAUUUAGAGCGGGUUGAGUCUCUGACCAAUGUCCCGUCAUGUGCUUGUAUCUUGUAUGCAAGUGAAUGGUCAUUCGUCGAGUGGAGCACUCGAGCCGAACCUGUGUGACAGUUUGACUCCAUCACAACAAAAUGAUAAUAGCUCCUUCCAAAGCACACCUGAACCUAAUGUUAUUAUGUACUGUGAUGAAAUUGGAAGCAAUAUGAGCACAUUUUUAAACUUGCCUUGAAAAUCUCUCAAAACGAAUUUUAAAUGAUAGUACUAUUAAUUUAAAGACAACACUGCUUAUUCUUAUGGGGAAUAGGGUUAGUGUGAAUAAAAAUAAUUUAAUAAAAUUCUUUGAACAAUUAGAGACACUUACUCGUAUAGUGAAUGAAAUUAUUAUUUUCACAUUUCCCUAUUGUGAGCAAAUGUCAGAGGCAGAAAAUAACAUCAGGUGUAAGUUAAAUAUAUUUUUAUAUAAUCUUUGUACAUAUGUAAAUGAAGCAUUGUUAACUUCAUUCCUCAGUUUGGACUUCAUCUGUGGCAGUCAAUGACAGAUGACAGUUGACAGGUUAAACGUCAGAAUGUCAGACGAAGUUCAUAAAAAGUGCAUUGUAACGAUCGCAUAUAAGAAUUAUAAUUUAAUAGAAAAUUAGAAAUAAAUACUUGGUGGAAUAAUAGCUUUAAUGUUGUUUCUCUUUUCAGGUGAGUACCUAAGAUAUUUAGUUAAGUUUCACUGUAAUCAAUGUGUUAAGCUAGGUAUAAGUGAUUGUUAAUAUAAAAACCUAUUCUCUUUUCAGAGCAACACAAUUUUGUUUUUAUUUCGCCUCCACAUAUCAAACAUUGUGUGUAACGCACAUUAUAAAACAACAUUCUCAGCUAUUUAUUGGCAAAGAUGGAGAAAUUGAGAUUUGAGUUUGAGGUAAAAGCAAGUAGUGACGACCCGAAGUCUAGUAUCAUUUGUGUAAACUCUAUAACGGAUGUGGGCAAGAAUGUCUUUGUUAUCCCUGAACAAUACCAACCAGUAAAGCUACAUGAAGCGAUUAUGGAGACAGAAACCUUCAAAAAAGUAAAAAAUACAUUGCGAAAGAGACAUGACAAAAGGCAGGUAUGCACUAUUAUUUAAAUAUAGACAGGGCUCUUUGUUAGAAUAUGCUUUAAAAAAGGAAAGACUAUUAUUAGAGAUGAAUAAAAAUAUGGAUAAAUCAACUUUGAUAGAUCUCAUUGCAAUAGGGUUGCCAAAUUUCAUAGCAGAUAAGAUUGAUAGAUAUACCUUAAAAGAGACUGAGGAUUUAUUUAGUAGCAUAAGAGGGUUGGAACAUUUAGUGGAAAGGAAAAUUUGGGAUAAAAAAAUUGUUGGUCCAGAUAAUAAAGUGAAAGAUAAAAAUCUGAAGGAACCUUGUAGGUUGUGCGAAAAGGAAAACAGAGGAAAGAGAUAUCAUCCGGAGUCUUCAUGCUGGUUUAAAAAUAAAAGUGGUGAUAGACGGGAUCAAAUAAGAAGUGUUAAUAAUUUCACUUUGGAAACCGAGUUAAAUGAGAUCGACCCAAAAAACUAGACAUUGAAACUGUGAAAUAUGCAUAAAGAAUAAGUCUAGAAUAAGAUAUAAAGUUGGAUUAAUGUCUCAUUUAGGUCCAGCAACGUAUCCUUUUGAAAUUAUGUCAAUUGACACCAUUGGUGGAUUCGGUGGCUCGCGGUCUACGAAAACGUAUUUACACUUACUUGUAGAUCAUUUUAGUAGAUACGCUUACAUUUUGACCUCUAAAACCCAGAGUUCCGGUGACUUCAUAAAAUUAAUAAAGAAAGUAACCCAGGAAAAUAGAGUUGGUAUGAUUUUGACUGAUCAAUACCCGGGAAUAAAUUCAAAGGAAUUCAAAAACUUCCUAGAUAAAGAAAACAUACCAAUUAUAUUUACCGCGGUUAAUGCUCCAUUUUCUAAUGGCUUAAACGAGCGAUUGAACCAAACUUUAGUGAAUAAGAUAAGGUGUAGGAUAAAUGAGCGGAAUAAUAAAUUAGCGUGGACUACCAUUGCUCAUGAAUGUACGGAGAGGUAUAACGAGACUGAACAUACCGUAACAGGAUUUUCUCCUAAAUAUUUACUAGAAGGGAAAUUAGUGGAUAUCUUACCGAUUGAACUAAAACAAGGAAAAACAUAUAAUGAAUUGUUACAGGAUAGGAAAACCGCCUUAGAAAACACCAUAAAAUCGCACAACACUAAUAAAAAACGAUUUGAUAAAGACAGGGAAAGUUGCGAUAUCAGAGUAGGAGACUCAGUGUAUGUGGAAAAUGGAAACCGCUUGAAUAGGAGGAAGUUACAUGAAUUGAAAAUUGGCCCAUAUAAAGUCAUAGAGAAAAUUUCUAACUCAAUUUAUAGGAUAGAUACAGGCCAUAAAAAGUCAGAGUCAAAUCUUUUCCAUGUUACUAAACUAAUCCCUAUUAGGUUUGGUCCAUGUUCCUAGUAUUAAUGUUUAUAUAUAAACUUGGUCUGGGGGGGGGGGGGGGGAGAUGUAAAUGAAGCAUUGUUAACUUCAUUCCUCAGUUUGGACUUCAUCUGUGGCAGUCAAUGACAGAUGACAGUUGACAGGUUAAACGUCAGAAUGUCAGACGAAGUUCAUAAAAAGUGCAUUGUAACGAUCGCAUAUAAGAAUUAUAAUUUAAUAGAAAAUUAGAAAUAAAUACUUGGUGGAAUAAUAGCUUUAAUGUUGUUUCUCUUUUCAGGUGAGUACCUAAGAUAUUUAGUUAAGUUUCACUGUAAUCAAUGUGUUAAGCUAGGUAUAAGUGAUUGUUAAUAUAAAAACCUAUUCUCUUUUCAGAGCAACACAAUUUUGUUUUUAUUUCGCCUCCACAUAUCAAACAUUGUGUGUAACGCACAUUAUACAUAUAGUGGUAAGUUUAAUAUAAUUGACACUAACAAACUUGUUAGCAAAUACCAUAUGCCUAUGGUUUUUUAGACUAAAGUUAUACCUUUCAAAUUAUAAAAGACACUAAGAUCUGUUUGAGGAAUUAAUCAAAACAAUAAAAUAUAUUCAUAAAGUAGAUACGUAGUUUAUUUUAGUUUUAAGUAGUUGUAAUUAGUUAUAUUUUAGUUUUAAGUAGUUGUAAUUAGUUUUAAUUUAGUGUUAAGUGAAUUUGGAAUAAAUAAAUCUUUUUUUGCUUCUAUAUGUCCACGGCAUCAACCAUCAGUCACACAGCCUCCUCCGUUCCAGCACAAUGUUCAUAUUCCACCGCAGCAGAAUCAGUUUCAUCCGUGUCGCGAUGGAAAUCACGUUCUGGUUCCAGUCUUCAGACGAGCUAAUGAAUCUGUUCCUGCUUCAGAAAUCCCGCAUCAGCCAACUGAGAAUUUUAAGGAAGAACAUGAAGAGGAAGAUCAGGAAGAACCUGUAAUGCAACAAAUGCUAAGAUAUGCCAGUGCCAUUGAUAGCGAGACUGAUUCCAUAUCUCAGAAUCUGAAUAAUGUAUUACAUAAUGCACUGGAAUUGAGAAGUCUACAAUCAGAUUUGCGAAACUUGUAUUUGAAAUUAAUCGGACUACUCCAUACCAGGCGACAACACUGAUCUUCAAGUUCAUUACUAUUUUAAUAACUCUGCUUUUUAGUAUUAAUAAGACGCCACGUGAUAUUUGAAGAGCCUCAUAAUUAAGAAUUUUUCGUAGAAUAUGUUAAGCUUUGUUUACAGUAUCUUUUUUUAUUAAAUUUAAUUUGUUACAUAAGCUCUAAAGUAAAUUUUAGUCUGUAAUUAGUAUAUCUCUUGUGUCUGAAUCUCAGAAUUAUUUAAAUAUAUACAGACUUUUAUAUCAAAUAUUGAAUUGACAUUUGUUUGUUAUCUAUUCUUUGUGAUCUCAGCCAAUUAGAAUCGAAAACACAUUAGUAGGGCAUCUGGAUCAUAAAUAAGUAUCGCCGAAAUUCUUUGGGCUCAAAGGAAUUCAAGUUAUAUGUUAAAAUGUACAUAACAAUAAGCGGCUUCCUUUGUUCGGUAGUAGACAAGCAAUUAAUAACUACUGACAACAAUAUUUGAUAAAAUGAAUCAUAGAUGACUUUACGCAGAAAUGUGUGUUAUUAGUUCAGUUGCUAUUUCCUAAAAUGGCAUAAGUAUAAACAUAACAAAGGUCAACGAUACGAAAUUUAAUAACAAUAUACACUGGACUACACGUAAUCGUUAUCUCAUUAACUUGAAAAGUAACGCAAGAAGUUAUUGGUAGCCAUCCCCUCCACCUACUUCCAACAAUUAUUAUUGCCCAUUUAUCACCAGUAUACGUUACGCGCGCAAACGCAGUAAACACAUUUUUAGUGUCUUCGAUUUUUGGUAUCUGCUAUAUUUUAAUUUCGAGAAGAAAUUACCAGCACCAGAGUAAGUUUCACAAUUAAUACUUUAGAUAAGUUUAGUGUCAUAAGGGUACCAUUUUUUUUUUCAGAUGGCAAAUACAAAAUCGAGAAAGCGAUUUUCUGUUAUUAAGUUUCGAACUUUUCCGUCGAAAGGCCUUGAUGAUUACGUAUGUGUGCCAAACAAAUGGAAACUAAAAGAUGACUAUGUAAUUGUGGUAUACCCAGAAAACGAAGAUCUUAAUGUUUCAAGACAUCGUGUUAAGUCACGAAAACAACCAAAAAGUAAUUGGAGAUUGUAUGCUGCUGAAAUAAAAUAUGAAUUAGUAACAUGUGGAACUGGGAGAAAAUUGUCCUAGAAUUGGGGACGGAAGACAAGUGUGUGCAGUUUGCGGAGAAUAGAGGGCUUAUUCCUGCUACUAAAAUGUGCAGAAUCCACCGCAAGCCUAUGACUCUAAAGAAGCAGUCAGGAAAAGUUGGCAAAUUUACGUGCAGGAAGAGCAACUGCAGAUCGGAGUCAGUGUCCCGUGCAAAAGGGACCUGGUUCGAUAAUGUAAAGCUGCCUCAAGUUGCCAUCUUCAGACUGAUGUUUUUCUUCAGUGAGGGCCUCUCUUAUAAUGCGACCAUGAAGCAUGUAGCCUCCCGGAACUACCCCACUGUCACGUUAAGCAAAUCGAUUGCCGAUUGGUUUACCUUUUGUCGGGAGGCAGUCAUGUUCUAUGAGAUGGACCAUCAAGAGAGUCAAGGAAAGAUUGGAGGCCCUAACAAAAUUGUACAAAUAGAUGAAUCGAAAUUUGGAAAAAGAAAAUACAACAGGGAAAGAUAUAUAGAAAAGCAUUGGGUAAUAGGGAUGAUUGAACAUGGGAGCGAUGAGCUGCGGCUUGAGGUGUGUCCCGACAACGAAAGGUCUGCAGAAGUAUUGGUGCCAGGAGGAAGACUUUAUCAUUCAUACUGAUUACUGGAGAGCGUAUGACUGCCUUCCUCAACAUGGGUAUGUCCAUAAAAAGGUCAAUCAUAGUGACCCGGAGAACAGAUUUGUGGCACCUGAUGGGACAGACACUCAAAGAAUUAAAAGCCAAUGUAGAGGGUUGAAGAAAAUAUUUAGAGAGAAGCAACAUAAACAUGAUUUUACGGAUUGGUUAAUGGAGUCACUUUGGAGGCGAAGGGUGUAUACACAACACUAAGAUCUGUUUGAGGAAUUAAUCAAAACAAUAAAAUAUAUUCAUAAAGUAGAUACGUAGUUUAUUUUAGUUUUAAGUAGUUGUAAUUAGUUAUAUUUUAGUUUUAAGUAGUUGUAAUUAGUUUUAAUUUAGUGUUAAGUGAA